UGGUAUCAUGGAGUUCCCCAGG
rnacentral:piRNA from 1 species